GCGGCCGGCCGUCUCUUCGCCAGCCUGCUGAACGCGCUCAAGACGGUCUGUCUCCUGCUCAGGAAGUACGGCGGCAACAAGAAGAGACAGGCGCCGGCCUACUUCGAGGACCUGUACCGCCAGAGUCUGGCCGUGUCGAUGCGGCCCGGCUCCGAGCUGGAGAAGCUGGCCGCCCUGGUGGAGCAGAUUCGCCUGGUGCAGAAGCACUCCUGACCGUUCCGUCCGUUGCUCGAGGGUCUAGCCGCAGCCGAGUUGGGCCUUGUCUUACCUUCCACCUGGUGGCAGCUCUGCGAACUACUCGGCCCCGUCCGUCGGCACUCUGCGCGCAUUUGUACAUCAGCAUGAACAUGUGCUGACACCCAUAUGUAAUCAUGAACGCUCGUACUCACCUCGCUUAUACUUGUGCUGUGCUGUAUUUAUCUGAACUGAUGUAUCGUUUGUAUACCUCUUACCGAACGCGGAGCACGGCUCAUUCAGUGGUGAAUGGCCUUUGUAUUCCAAUUAACCCUCGUAUUUUAUUUAGCCCGUUGCGUUUCCCCCGUUGCAUUCAGUGAAUGGUUGGCCGAAAUUGAUCCAUACCACGGUUAUGAUGUUUCAGCCAGCCAUUCACCGAAAUGCGACGUAAGGAACUAGUAUAUUGGGUGCGGUUCGGGCGCCUAAACCACUGAGUGAGCCGGGCCCGGACACCGACGUCCUCAGGAUGCCGGCGUCCUCACGCGAGGCUGUGCCGCUGUGAACGGCGCGGGGUCCCGCGGGACGGGCCCGCUCAAUGGCAGGACAUUUGUACUACAGUUUCAUGCUAGUGACGCUUACGCAAGGAUCUCAGGUGUGCCGUGGCGUGUCAGAGUGGCGAUUUAAUGAUGGCUUGUGAGCUUUACCACUGUAAUAAAGAUAACUG